UGCCGGAGUGGUGGAAUUUGGUAGACACAGAGGACUUAAAAUCCUCUGGCUCGUAAGGGCCGUACCGGUUCAAGUCCGGUCUCCGGUAA
rnacentral:tRNA from 1 species